UGUGACUCAUUGUGUCUGUGUGGAGGCGUCGGCAGGGCCUAGGUCCUUUUGCAGCGCCCUUCAGCCCAUCUGAGCCCCAGAGUCAGCUCCCCUUUCUCUCCCAGCGCCCCAAAGCCGCUCCCGGGGCUCACGGUGAAAAAGAAGCUUCACGAAGAUUUGUCAAGUCAGAGGGAAGAAACACAUUGUCAGCUGGCUCUGUUUGGAAAUUCGCCCACCAACCAUGAAACAUAUCAGAAACAUCUCCUAGGACAGAAAGGAAAGCACAGACCCUGUUUGGAUCAAGUUCUUUAACCCUGAAUGAUGACUGCCGAAUCAAGGGAAGCGACUGGUCUGUCCCCCCAGGCUGCCCAGGAGAAGGAUGGUAUCGUAAUAGUGAAGGUGGAAGAGGAAGAUGAGGAAGACCACAUGUGGGGGCAGGAUUCCAGCCUGCAGGAGACUCCUCCUCCUGACCCAGAGAUCUUCCGUCAACGUUUCAGGCACUUCUGUUAUCAGAACACUUUUGGGCCUCGAGAGGCUCUGAGUCGACUUAAGGAACUUUGUCAUCAGUGGCUACGACCAGAGAUAAACACCAAGGAGCAGAUCCUGGAGCUGCUGGUGCUGGAGCAAUUCCUUUCCAUCCUGCCCAAGGAGCUUCAAGUCUGGCUGCAGGAAUACCGUCCUGAUAGCGGGGAGGAGGCUGUGACCCUUCUGGAAGAUUUGGAGCUUGAUUUAUCAGGACAGCAGGUCCCAGGUCAAGUUCAUGGACCUGAGAUGCUUGCAAGGGGGAUGGUGCCUCUGGAUCCCAUACAGGAGUCCUCAAGCUUUGACCAUCAUGAGACCACCCAGUCCCAUUUCAAGCAUUCAUCUCGGAAACCCCGCCUCUUACAGUCACGAGCUCUUCCUACCACCCAUGUUCCUGCCUCUCAUCACGAGGAGAGUCCCAGAGACCAGGCAACGGCAUCUGCACUGUUCACGGCAGAUUCCCAGGCGAUGGUGAAGAUCGAGGACAUGGCCGUGUCCCUUAUCCUGGAGGAAUGGGGAUGUCAGAACCUGGCUCGGAGGAAUCUCAGUAGGGACAGCAGGCAGGAGACUUAUGGGAACGUGUUUUCCCAGGGUUGUGAAAGCAGGAAUGAGAAUGAGCAGUCAACCUCGAAGGCUGAAAUCGCAGAAGACUCAGCAUCACGUGGGGAGACAAGAGGAAGAACCCAGAAAGAUUUCGGAGAAAAACGUGAACAGCAGAGCAGAACAGCAGAAAGGCAGCAGAGGAAUCUUGAGGAGAAAACUGGAAAAGAAAAGAAAGAUUCGGGGCUGGCUGUGGUCAAGGAAAAAAAAACGAACACAGGAGAAAGAGGUCCCAGGGAGAAGGGUAAAGGAUUGGGAAGAAGCUUCAGUCUGAGUUCAAACUUUAACACCCCUGAAGAAGUUCCAACAGGAACAAAGUCUCAUAGAUGUGAUGAAUGUGGUAAAUGCUUCACAAGGAGUUCAAGCCUUAUUCGCCAUAAAAUCAUCCACACUGGAGAAAAGCCCUAUGAAUGUAGUGAGUGUGGGAAAGCCUUCAGUCUGAACUCAAACCUUGUCUUGCAUCAGAGAAUCCACACAGGAGAGAAACCUCAUGAAUGUAAUGAGUGUGGCAAAGCCUUCAGUCAUAGUUCAAAUCUCAUUCUGCAUCAGCGAAUCCACUCUGGAGAGAAACCUUAUGAAUGUAAUGAGUGUGGGAAAGCCUUCAGCCAGAGCUCAGACCUUACAAAACAUCAGAGAAUCCACACUGGGGAGAAACCCUAUGAAUGUAGUGAAUGUGGAAAAGCUUUCAACCGAAACUCAUACCUUAUUUUGCAUCGGCGAAUUCACACCAGAGAAAAGCCCUAUAAGUGCACUAAGUGUGGCAAGGCCUUUACUCGGAGCUCUACCCUCACUCUGCAUCACAGAAUCCACACCAGAGAGCGAGCCUCUGAGUACAGCCCAGCCUCCCUUGAUGCAUUUGGAGCAUUCUUGAAAAGUUGUGUGUAAAGUGAGAAUUUGUCGACAAGCCAUUUCCCCCUUUUGUUUUUAAAAUUAUUUCAGCGAUGUGUGCUUAUGGAAGGGAAAAGACAUCCUCAACAGAUUUUUUUUUUUAAAUCACAUUUAAGGAUCCUUAUAGUUAGAUUAGGAGUGUUCUGCCUUUGCAUAGUCUGUAGGCAUAUUCUUCCACACAGCCCCUAUAGGGAAAAGCUAAUUGUGUGGAUAAGCCACAUAUUUCCAUAUGAGAUAAAAGCACACACAAUAAAAUGUCGAGCUUUUAAGUAUGGAGGAUACCUUUGAGGCGCUAUUUUACUCUCAACAACCACAAUAUACAAUUGAAAAAUUGAGAUUGGCUGUGUAAAAGUGAUAAUGUGGUUAAAUGCUGCUUGCUGCAAAUAAGCCCUGGUUGGCCAACAUCUCACUAUACCUUCUUUCUCAAAAAAUAGACAAAACAAAAACUACAUUGGGACAUGCUGCUCAAACUAGUUAUAUAUACAUAUAAUAAGUUAUAUAUAUGAUCACUGGUAGCCUACCAAAGCUAUAGAAAUCUAGGACUGUGCCGAUGAGUAUCAAACCAAAGAUUUCUAUCUCUUCCUGAGAGAGGGUAUGUGCACCAGUCCGUAGUUCCAAAGGACUGCCACAAAUGUAGAUGGUUUAUCCUCAUCACUGAGAUAAAUUCUACUGAUAUGGCAACAAUGAUUCAAAACAUUUCUCUCCCUUCUGGAAGAAAUCCCUAAAGCACUAGUCGUACUCUGAAAUGCCAUUUCUCCACAUUAGCACUUGAUUAUAUGCUGACUUUUAAUCCUUCAUUGUUUCAUGCACAAAAGUUUUAAUUUCCCCUCAAAAGAGAUGCUUUGAUAGACAAGGGAUAUACUUAUAUCCCUGACAGCACUGGACACAAUGCGCAAUGCAUAACAGGCGCUCAUUGUGCCUGACUUCUAACAGGACUUUUGCACUUCUGAAGCCCUGUGAAUCAUGAGUACCUGAAAUAUCAUAACCUGACCCAGCCUUUGAAGAGGACAUUCAGAGCCAGAGGCAUGCUAAAGCUCCAAGGUCUUAUGCUAUUCUUGUCCUACUUAUAAAAGAAAGGCACCAACUGCCUGCACAGACUCUUUCUAAGCAUGGAUCAGUGAGUACCAUGGAAUAUCAGAAAUGACUCCAUUGUCAUCAUCUUAAGAAAAAUACAAAAACAUACUAAGGCCAUUUUUUGACAUCUUUCUGUAACAAAGAUGUUGGCCAGAAUUUUCUUCAGUCAGCUACUGAACAAUGUGAUGAUUUGGACAAUUUCUGAAUCAUUUGUAACUUGAAAUGAUACAGUUCAGACAAUGUAGUUUUUGUUGCUUUUCAGAAAAAGGAAAAUGUAGGGAGCAUUUUUUCCCCCACACUUUCCAAAAAACUUCACAAAAGCAUUUAACAUUACCAGGCCAUUACUAAAUGGUGUUAGUUGCUCUGAGAAGUUGACUGACUUGCUAAGAUAGGGUUGGUUGUAUCAAAGUCAUACUGCACAAUGUCUUCUCAUCACUGAAGACAGAUGAGGUUACAAAACUUUGAUCUUGUUCAUCAUCUGUGGAAGAGGAUGCAUUUGGCUGUCUGGAAGCUAAGACAGAAUUUUCAGAUACACAUACAAGAGACCCACGUAUUGGGAGGCUACAUAAGUAGUCAUGAGGGAUUCAGGUAGAGAUGACUCAGCUCAUGAGAGCAUGCAAAUUAUUGUGGACAGCUCUGCAGGAACUUUGACCAUAGAACAUAUAUGAAGACUAUCCCCGUAACAGAAGAACCCCACAUAGAGACUGAAAUUUUCCAUCAAGAAACAGAACUAAAACUCAUUCUGUUUGCUAACCAACAACUCAAGCCCAUGAGACAGCAUGUCUUUAUGGGGAGCCAGUGAGGUGGGGGUAGCCGUGACCUCAGUUCCAGACCAAACUAAAACUACACAGCAGUCAUUCUUUGGCUUCUAUUACUUGGACCAACCACAGCUUCCCUAUACUCCCUAAGCAGUUUCAUCUGUUUCCUGGGGAAACUUCAUAGAAGUCAGCUAGUGACCAGAAUAUUUCUAUCCAUUUCAUAUAAGAAAAAAAAGAUAAUCCAGAAGAGUAUAUGUAAGUUAUGUGUUAAAGUACAGUAAAGUUAAAUGCUUUUAGGAUUUUCAUCAGUGAGCCACAUGGUGGUUGCAUGGAAAACUGUUGGUGCUUUUGAGAAAAGACUUGCUGCUGAGAAGCAAUUGAAAGUGGUGAGAUGCUUUAACUCCAGGCACUGAUCAAAGCACUGACUGCUCUUAAGAGGGGAAGAACUUUGGUUGGUUCCACAUUGGCUUUUUUUUCCCCAGAACUACAUGCUGAUGUAAUUCAGCCAUUUUGUUUAACAAAAGUUAAAUACAACCUGUGCCCCCACAUUUAGUUCCCAUUUUUCUGGGAUAUCAUACUGUGUGGGAUAGCUACUGCAGUUGCUUCAUAUCUUCAGCAGAUGCACUCCUUGAAGCAGCUACUUGAAGAUAUAUUUUCUGGGAAAAAAAAAAACAGGCUACAAAUGUUGAUUUAAACUAUUUACAUUGCUUUUAUCAGCUGCUCAAUGCAAAGUAUAAUUGGGUUAUGGACAAAAAGGCUUACGACAUCUAAUUAGUGCUCAGGAUAGUCAACUCAGUAGCUCCUGACUGGCUAAAGUCUGUUAACAGUUUACUCUAUAGUUAAGCAGUAGCAUGUUAAUCGACCUAAUGGAAAUCUUUGAAGGUCGCUUUAAAAUAAUACCUUAACCUUGCCAUAAAGAGAAGUAAAGUUCUUCAAGCUGUGAGGUAUUUGUUUCUACUCUGGCCUGUCAGGCAAUGUGAAGAGGUAUAUGAGGCUACAUAAGUGCCUCAUAUAAGUGCCUUCUUAACAUGUAAGGCACUUAGUAUUUUAUUAGAGGCAUAAAAGCGAAACUAUGCUGAAUGUGUACAGAGAGGUCAAUAUGUUUGUUGUGUGAGACAAUUCACAUCUUACGUACGUCAGUGAAUUCAUUCUGGAAGGGAAACCUCUUAAAUGUGAUAAUGUGGCAAAGCCUUUAAUCACAUCUCAGCCCUUAGCAUCAGAAAGCUUACACUGUAAAUAAACUUUAUUAAUAUUCUAUGUGAGGAAACCUUUCAUGUGUAGCACUUGUUGCUUUGGACAGAAAAAAAAUUCCAUCAAUAUGUUUCAGUGGUAAUGAAUUUUAGAAACACUGCAAAGGACACUUAACUCCAGAGGAUCCACAGAGGGGAAAAAAAUGGGGGGGGGGGUAGCAAAAUGUACAACUUACAAAAAUUGUCAAUGUUGAGUACUUCUAUAUAUAUUUUGUAUGACCUUAAUGUCAGUGUCUGUGUUUUGUACCUCUAGCCCUGUUGCUAUUCUGUAUACUCUCUGUAGACAGAUAAUGUAUUUUACUUUAAUCUAUUUGACAGAACACAACACUUAAAAGAGCAGAGUUUUAGAGUGAGUAGUAAAAAGUUGAUGUGAUUAUAGACAAAAAAAAUCAGUUCACAGAACUGAGGGGGAAUUUGAGAAACCUCAUAGUUUGGUGCUUAUCAAAUCAGAAGACAAGGUGAGUAGAUGGGUUAAGUAAGAGAGGUUAAUAGGGUGCUAAAAUGGAAUAAUUCCUAUAAACAUCUGCAGCUCCUUGGGAGUUUUCAAACCAGAAAGUUGACUUCCUAGCUGCCAGGUCACCAUUUUAAGCAAAGAGAAUGGGUUGUCUGAGCUCCUCAGGAAGUAACAGCGUCUUCCCUGUGAACUGAGAGUGGGGUCAGUACCGGAAAGGCUAGUGGGACCACUUAAGUUGACCGGAUUCUAUAAACCAUAGUCCUUCUUCCCCCAGGAACUCUUAAAUGUUUAUACUUUAAAAAUUUAGGAUGGGAAAACACCAAGAUGGACUCUUUCCUGGAAAAAACAGAUGCCUGCAGUUCCUGGCAUGGCAGGAAGUUUUUCUGACAGCAUUUUGCAGUAUUCAUGUUGGCUGUGCUCUGUACCUGCCCUGCUCCCACUCUUCCUGGUUUAUGCUUAUUAGGAGAGAAGGCUUGUGAUGAUUAAUAGCUGUGAAAAUUUUUUUUCCUAGUUUUUAUCCUGAAUUUGAUUACCUUUUGUUCCAGAGUCUGGUCAUACUGAUGUACUCAUCUAAGCCAACCAGGUUCAUCCUACCAUCCUAAUGGAAGAUGCAUUGUGUGAAUUGGAGGAACUGUUAUAAUGUAGUCAAGUGGUGACAGCCAUACUUGCUAGAGGAGCCAUAUUUUUGUGUGUCUCUCUCUGAGCAACUUCUCAAAAAUAGGGGGCUGGGGUUCCCCACCUGGGAAACUAAAUAAAGGUCUACAGAUUGCAAAGUGAAAUGUAGAAUCAGAGAAAAGGAAAUUAAAUGGUAUAAAUAGAUCUUUUCAUAAAAGUUAGAGUAGACUUUUUAUUUCAACUGUUACCGGAGAAUUUAAUAAAAAGCAUUAUUUGAAAAGUUUUCCUAACAUAGAUUUAGGUUUCAUUUUUAGAAUGGACACACUACUAUACAUUAAAAGUAGUUAUUUUGCUAUUAAAAUUAAUUUUUUAUUAUAUCUGAAAAAUUAUCUGUUUUCAAAGCUUUGUGAAACAAACUUGAAGUUAUAGGGAGAUAAGCCAUCUCCAGUUCUGCAGAUCAAACAAACGUUUGGGAAGUACUUUGGACAUCUCAUAAUACAGACUAUCUUACAUAAGACCUUAGUUUCAGAUGGUCUGGUUCUAUUCAGUAGUAGACACCACAACCUCAUGGUUUUCUUUUCUCCUGAAACAGUGGAAGGUAAAGAGUGGGCAUUAAGUUGACUUGUGAACAAUGGUCUGCUGUUACUUUAACAAAUUUUUAAGAUCUCUUAGCAUUUUCAUCUCCACUUACUAAAUCAUGUCUCACUUCAAAUUACACAGUAAUCAGCAAAGUUAGUUGGUCGUAAAAUUUAUUUUCUCCCUUUAGAAAGCACUCAUUAAGCAGUGAGAACGAGUAUGACUAUUUUAAGAUAACGUAGAAUGAGAUCUGUGAAUGAAAGGUAGUAUUGAAACUUGGAUUUAAUUCUGGUUUCGGAUUUGGGUUUUAAAUUCCUUUGAUACAGAGAAGGAACUGGGCAGCUGCUAUUGUUUCGUCUCCUGACAAGGUUGGAUAUGCUGGGAAGAAGAGUGGGGAGAAGGGUUGUAACAGCUCUCUCUGUACUCCCAGCUAAGGAAGAGUAAUGAGGCAGCCUGGUGGAAGGAGAAAGGAACUGGGAGUGUGUUCAGGUCAGUGCUUGCUUGUCUUCCCUCUCACCUCAGCUAGUUAACAGUUUAAGGUUUUAGUCUGCCCCGGGAAGAACAAAGCAUGUUAGACUUAGAGAUGCUUCUGCAAGUAGCAGGGGUUCUUAUGGGAAGACAUAUGACGGGUGUGGGGUGGGAAGAAGUGGAUAAUGGGUAUGCAGGAAAAUCUUGUUCUAAAAAUACAUGAGUUUAGGGGUAAGGGGUGAGAUAUGCAAGCAAAAUCAGUUAUUUUAAAAUGAACGUGUAUUUUUAUUAACUUUCAGUUAAAUAUAGAUUAUUACAACCAGCUCAAAAUGAUAAGCCUAAAUCUAUAUAGAGAGCUAAGUCAGACAUUGUCUUGCUUAAAACAAGAACAAACACUGUCUUGGAUGGAACAAACCUUUUCUGUUUUGUCAGUUCUUGGAUUUAUAGUUUAGAAUAAAUUAGACAAAAAGAAGACACCUGUUUCUGUAUACCUGCAGAAUUAAGUUGCUGUUAAAACCUGGCCUAGUCUGAAGAGUCCACAUGCUUGCUUCCCAACAUGCCAUAUAUGUGGACUCCUUCUAGAAGGAAAACAGGAAAGUUUACAGAACUGUAACGGACAAGAAACUUGCCCAGCCUUGUUCUAAGAGAAAUAAAAGUUUGAUCACCCUCUACUGACCAAGGACAGUGAUGGCAGCAAAAACAGGGAACCCAGUCAUAAUGUGGAGACAGCGCAAGCAGCCAAGCCGAAAGACUCACAUGGAAGAGCACGGAGGGCCCAGGCGAACAUCCCCAUUGAACUUCAGUCUGUGGGCCAACACCAACUGCCAGACAUCCCAACUCCUUGGUUGAUACCACAGGAAGCAGAACAAACCAGCCAAUCCACAGAUUUGCGAGGUCGUGUGAAAAACAGUAAUUGUGUGUUAAGGCACAAAGUUUGGGGGUAGUGUUUCAUGCAGCAAUAAAGAACUGACACCAAGCACUUAA